UACGAAGGGGGCUAGCGUUGUUCGGAAUUACUGGGCGUAAAGCGAACGUAGGCGGUGUUCCAUGUCAGAGGUGAAAGCCUGGGGCUCAACUCCAGAAUUGCCUUUGAAACGGGAACGCUUGAGUCCGAGAGAAGGUGGCGGAAUUCCUAGUGUAGAGGUGAAAUUCGUAGAUAUUAGGAAGAACACCAGUGGCGAAGGCGGCCACCUGGCUCGGUACUGACGCUCAGGUUCGAAAGCGUGGGGAGCAAACAGG
rnacentral:rRNA from 1 species